UAGCCAUGAUGUGGGCAAGCAUUUAAAAUCUCCUUGAAUCUUUCCCAGCAUUGGAAAAUAUUUCUUCCUCUUUCUAUGAGAAGUUCAUGAUUGCCUUUCUAAGGGU